rnacentral:lncRNA from 1 species
GAGUAGAAGCCUGGUGAUUCCUAUCCCAGACCCUGUGCUGUCCUGCUUCACCUCUCCAGACCUGUGAACCUCUUCAGGCUUUGCUCCCCAAGCCACUGGACCCUUUGGCAUCUCCAUCAGCAGCAGAGCAGGAGAUCCCCACGAAUACAUGAAAACUGUCGUGGGUUCAAUAGUGCUGUGGCAAAAGUUUCUGUGCAGACAGCUGAGUAACUGAGCAUCCACCACCCAGAGCUGUUUCACCGCUGAGCGGCCACCAGAUGGAGAAAGCACUCCACAUCAUGGUUUCUGAGUCCAGCCAGUUCCCCUGCCCACAGUGAGUGGCAGACCUGUGCUGAGGGAAGUAUCUCCAUCAGCCCCUGAAAAGCUGGAGCUGCUCCCUGUCCCUGGAAGUGUGAGCCCACAGCUGCUCACGUCAAAGAUAUGAGAUGCCCAGAAAGUUCCUGCAGCUGAGUAAGUAAUUGCCCUGUCACAUUAAGGAGGCAGAAAGAUUAUCCACAAUUAUUGCACUAUCCUAACUAAAGAAGAACUAAAAAAGCAGUGUCAUGUCCUGCAGGUUUAAAACUGAGUCUCCAGAGCUUCUAUGCCUUGCCUCGUACUUCCUUUUCUCUGUCCUAUACAGCAGCACACCUGAGUCACUGUUGAGACUGGAAAUCCUCAGUGCUCUGUCCAGAUGUGAACUGAAGCCAUGCCAAGGUUAUGACAGCAGCACAAAGCAGCUCUCCCAGCUGGCAAAGGAGUGGGAUGAAAGUCUCUGCAGAGGUGGGGAAAUACCUCUUUCAAGAGUAGUUGGGAAGGCACAGCUUGCAGUUUCCAUCACUCGACCUUUCUGCUGGCCUCUGCUGCUUGCCUAGUAGCAGCAGCUUUGUCAGAAAAAGAAAUUAAAAUCAGAUGCACUUUGAAGUGUUGAAACCAACCCCUCAAGAGGACGGACCUCUCUGUUGUGCCACUCAGAUCAUCACAAACCUUGCAGCGAAGAGAUCCAUUUAAAGACAGAAAUCCCAGAAACCUAUGAUUUAUGUUCAGCUCAGUUUGUCACACUGGAGAAAAUCUUCACUGUGAAUCUUCUGCCCAGAAGUUAUGCAUUGCUAUGAGGCCGAAGCCAUAAGGGUCAUUGUCCAGGACUAGCCUCCUGACAAGUGAUUUAAGAAGACCUUUAGUAGAUAGCUAGUCUUCUAAUAUGACAACAUAAUCUCACUGUUUCAUCAUUAGCAGUGUUAAAAAUUCAGUUCCUGUGCAGUUUCGGUGACUGUUGUCUCUUUUCUUCAUAAGCUGAAAUCCCCUCUCUAAAGGAGCACAUGCAAACCCCUUAAGCUUGCAUCCAAGGUGUUGCAGGAAGGGCCCAGACCCACGCUUAGCAUCCAGCUGGGAGCAGUCAGCUCUCCUUACCCACAAAGAUGGAGUAAAGAGCAGAAAAUGUUUCCUGUCCGAAGUGGUACAGCAAGCAAAAACUAUGUUUAGGCAGUAUUAACCAUUUGGAUGUUAUCACCUGAGGUGGCUGUUCUUAUGCCUUUCAUCCCUAAAGGAACAUAUUCAUAAUGCUGACGAAAUCC